GGAAUAUUGGGCAAUGGAGGAAACUCUGACCCAGCGACGCCGCGUGCGGGAUGAAGGCCUUCGGGUUGUAAACCGCUUUCAGUAGGGAAGAAGCGAAAGUGACGGUACCUACAAAAGAAGCACCGGCUAACUAUGUGCCAGCAGCCGCGGUAAUACAUAGGGUGCAAGCGUUGUCCGGAAUUAUUGGGCGUAAAGAGCUCGUAGGUCGUUUGUUACGUCGGAUGUGAAAACCUGAGGCUCAACCUCAGGCCUGCAUUCGAUACGGGCAAACUAGAGUUUGGUAGGGGAGACUGGAAUUCCUGGUGUAGCGGUGGAAUGCGCAGAUAUCAGGAGGAACACCAAUGGCGAAGGCAGGUCUCUGGGCCAAUACUGACGCUGAGGAGCGAAAGUCUGGGGAGCGAACAGGAUUAGAUACCCUGGUAGUCCAGACCGUAAACGGUGGGCACUAGUUGUGGGAACCUUCCACGGUUUCUGCGACGCAGCUAACGCAUUAAGUGCCCCGCCUGGGGAGUACGAUCGCAAGAUUNAACUCAAAUGAAUUGACGG
rnacentral:rRNA from 1 species